rnacentral:siRNA from 1 species
GCCAAUCGAUGGGGGAACGAUGGA